rnacentral:rRNA from 1 species
GAUGAACGCUGGCGGCGUGCCUAAUACAUGCAAGUCGAGCGAACAGAUGAGGAUAUCGCUCCACUGACGUUAGCGGCGGACGGGUGAGUAACACGUGGAUAACCCUCCUAUUAGACUGGGAUAACUUCGGGAAACCGCAGCUAAUAUCGCAUAAUAUAUUGAACCGUAUGGUUCAUUUGUUAAUGACGGUUUUGCUGUUACUGAUAGACGGAUCCGCGCUGGAUUAGCUAGUUGGUAAGGUAACGGCUCACCAAGGCAACGAUGCGUAGCUGACCUGAGAGGAUGAUCCGCCCCACCAGAACGGAGCCGCGGUCCAGACUCCUACGGGAGGGGGCAGUGGGGAAACUUACACAAUGGGCGGAAGCCUGACGGAGCCACGCCGCGUGGGUGAUGAAGGUCUGCGGAUCGUAAAACUCUGUUAUUAGGGAAGAACAAAUGUCUAGGUAACUAUGCACGUCUUGACGGUACCUAAUGAGAAAGCACCGGCUAACUACGUG